rnacentral:rRNA from 1 species
AUAACACACCGAAAGGUGUACUAAUACCGCAUAAGACCACGGGAUCACAUGGUUCUGAGGUAAAAGAUUUAUCGGUUUGGGGUGGGCUCGCGUCCGAUUAGGUAGUUGGUGAGGUAACGGCCCACCAAGCCGACCAUCGGUAGCCGACCUGAGAGGGUGAUCGGCCACAUUGGGACUGAGACACGGCCCAAACUCCUACGGGAGGCAGCAGUGGGGAAUAUUGGGCAAUGGAGGAAACUCUGACCCAGCAACGCCGCGUGGAGGAAGAAGGUUUUCGGAUCGUAAACUCCUGUCCUUGGAGACGAGUAGAAGACGGUAUCCAAGGAGGAAGCCCCGGCUAACUACGUGCCAGCAGCCGCGGUAAUACGUAGGGGGCAAGCGUUGUCCGGAAUAAUUGGGCGUAAAGGGCGCGUAGGCGGCUCGGUAAGUCUGGAGUGAAAGUCCUGCUUUUAAGGUGGGAAUUGCUUUGGAUACUGUCGGGCUUGAGUGCAGGAGAGGUUAGUGGAAUUCCCAGUGUAGCGGUGAAAUGCGUAGAGAUUGGGAGGAACACCAGUGGCGAAGGCGACUAACUGGACUGUAACUGACGCUGAGGCGCGAAAGUGUGGGGAGCAAACAGGAUUAGAUACCCUGGUAGUCCACACUGUAAAC